rnacentral:rRNA from 1 species
AGUGAACGCUGGCGGUAGGCCUAACACAUGCAAGUCGAACGGCAGCACAGGAGAGCUUGCUCUCUAGGUGGCGGGUGGCGGACGGGUGAGGAAUACAUCGGAAUCUGCCCAGUCGUGGGGGAUAACGUAGGGAAACUUACGCUAAUACCGCAUACGACCUUCGGGUGAAAGAGGGGGAUCGCAAGACCUCUCGCGAUUGGAUGAGCCGAUGUCGGAUUAGCUAGUUAGCGGGGUAAUGGCCCACCAAGGCGACGAUCCGUAGCUGGUCUGAGAGGAUGAUCAGCCACACUGGAACUGAGACACGGUCCAGACUCCUACGGGAGGCAGCAGUGGGGAAUAUUGGACAAUGGGCGCAAGCCUGAUCCAGCCAUACCGCGUGGGUGAAGAAGGCCUUCGGGUUGUAAAGCCCUUUUGUUGGGAAAGAAAUCUUUCAGGCUAAUACCCUGGGAGGAUGACGGUACCCAAAGAAUAAGCACCGGCUAACUUCGUG